rnacentral:rRNA from 1 species
UGGGGAAUAUUGGGCAAUGGGCGAAAGCCUGACCCAGCAACGCCGCGUGAAGGAAGAAGGCCCUCGGGUUGUAAACUUCUUUUGUCAGGGACGAAGCAAGUGACGGUACCUGACGAAUAAGCCACGGCUAACUACGUGCCAGCAGCCGCGGUAAUACGUAGGUGGCAAGCGUUAUCCGGAUUUACUGGGUGUAAAGGGCGUGUAGGCGGGAGUGCAAGUCAGAUGUGAAAACUAUGGGCUCAACCCAUAGCCUGCAUUUGAAACCUGUACUUCUUGAGUGAUGGAGAGGCAGGCGGAAUUCCCUGUGUAGCGGUGAAAUGCGUAGAUAUAGGGAGGAACACCAGUGGCGAAGGCGGCCUGCUGGACAUUAACUGACGCUGAGGCGCGAAAGCGUGGGGAGCAAACAGGAUUAGAUACCC